rnacentral:rRNA from 1 species
CGGACGGGUGAGUAAUGUCUGGGAAACUGCCUGAUGGAGGGGGAUAACUACUGGAAACGGUAGCUAAUACCGCAUAGCGUCUCCGGACCAAAGUGGGGACCUUCGGGCCUCACACCAUCGGAUGUGCCCAGAUGGGAUUAGCUUGUAGGUGGGGUAAUGGCUCACCUAGGCGACGAUCCCUAGCUGGUCUGAGAGGAUGACCAGCCACACUGGAACUGAGACACGGUCCAG